rnacentral:rRNA from 1 species
AUUGAACGCUGGCGGCAGGCCUAACACAUGCAAGUCGAACGAGUGGCGGACGGGUGAGUAAUGUCUGGGAAACUGCCUGAUGGAGGGGGAUAAAUACUGGAAACGGUAGCUAAUACCGCAUACCAUCAGAUGUGCCCAGAUGGGAUUAGCUUGUUGGUGGGGUAACGGCUCGCCAAGGCGACGAUCCCUAGAUGGGCGGAGAGGAUGACCAGCCAAAAUGGAACUGAGACACGGUCCAGACUCCUACGGGAGGCAGCAGUGGGGAAUAUUGCACAAUGGGCGCAAGCCUGAUGCAGCCAUGUCGCGUGUAUGAAGAAGGCCUUCGGGUUGUAAAGUACUUUCAGCGGGGAGGCGUUACCCGCAGAAGAAGCACCGGCUAACUCCGUGCCAGCAGCCGCGGUAAUUC